rnacentral:tRNA from 1 species
GGAGAGAUGGCUGAGUGGUUGAAAGCACCGGUCUUGAAAACCGGCGUAUGUUAAUAGCGUACCUAGGGUUCAAAUCCCUAUCUCUCCGCCA